rnacentral:rRNA from 1 species
AGUGAACGCUGGCGGUAGGCCUAACACAUGCAAGUCGAACGGCAGCACAGUAAGAGCUUGCUCUUACGGGUGGCGAGUGGCGGACGGGUGAGGAAUACAUCGGAAUCUACUUUUUCGUGGGGGAUAACGUAGGGAAACUUACGCUAAUACCGCAUACGACCUACGGGUGAAACCAGGGGAUCUUCGGACCUUGCGCGAUUGAAUGAGCCGAUGUCGGAUUAGCUAGUUGGCGGGGUAAAGGCCCACCAAGGCGACGAUCCGUAGCUGGUCUGAGAGGAUGAUCAGCCACACUGGAACUGAGACACGGCCCAGACUCCUACGGGAGGCAGCAGUGGGGAAUAUUGGACAAUGGGCGCAAGCCUGAUCCAGCCAUACCGCGUGGGUGAAGAAGGCCUUCGGGUUGUAAAGCCCUUUUGUUGGGAAAGAAAAGCAGCAGGUUAAUACCCCGCUGUUCUGACGGUACCCAAAGAAUAAGCACCGGCUAACUUCGUG